rnacentral:rRNA from 1 species
UACGAAGGGGGCUAGCGUUGCUCGGAAUCACUGGGCGUAAAGCGCACGUAGGCGGCUUUCUAAGUCGGUGGUGAAAUCCUGGAGCUCAACUCCAGAACUGCCUUCGAUACUGGAAGACUUGAGUCCGGGAGAGGUGAGUGGAACUGCGAGUGUAGAGGUGAAAUUCGUAGAUAUUCGCAAGAACACCAGUGGCGAAGGCGGCUCACUGGCCCGGUACUGACGCUGAGGUGCGAAAGCGUGGGGAGCAAACAGG